rnacentral:lncRNA from 10 species
GACUAAACUCAGACGUUCUAAUGAGAGUCUGGCGGUCGCUUCCCUGAGUGUUAAAAUCGCUCGGAGGCUGGUCCUGUCCCCGGUCUUUCACCACAGGGCCAUGUAGACAGCUCCUGUCGCGGAGUUUGCCUGCUUCAAAUCCUUCAGUGACCCCUAGACACGGCCCGCGCUGCGUAAAGUUCUCACCCGCGAGAUGGAUCCACGUCUUUCCGGUCCCCCAAGCCUCGCCCUCUUUUCACAGGCCUGCCCCCUUUUCUGUGCCUUAAAUGAGAGGAAAUCGAUCUGAUGUUUACUGCUGAUUGUGAUGUUUCAGCCUCCAUUGGGCUUUUGCUAACACCUAAAUAAAUAUUUAGUGGACAAAAUUAGGUUAGUGCAAAAGUAAUGGCAAACCGCGAUCACUUUUGCACCAACCUAAUAUUUAUGGGCCGGGGCUGGAAUUCCAUCUUCUCCGGAGGCCCAGGCUGGAGAAUUCCUUGAGCACAGGAGUUUGAGACCACUCUGGACAACAUAGGACACUUGGCAUUCAGGGACGUGGCCAUAGAAUUCCCUCA